rnacentral:rRNA from 1 species
UACGGAGGGUGCAAGCGUUAUCCGGAUUCACUGGGUUUAAAGGGUGCGUAGGUGGGUUGGUAAGUCAGUGGUGAAAUCCCCGAGCUUAACUUGGGAACUGCCAUUGAUACUAUUAGUCUUGAAUACCGUGGAGGUCAGCGGAAUAUGUCAUGUAGCGGUGAAAUGCUUAGAUAUGACAUAGAACACCAAUUGCGAAGGCAGCUGGCUACUCGGAUAUUGACACUGAGGCACGAAAGCGUGGGGAUCAAACAGG